rnacentral:sRNA from 1 species
UUGUGCGCAGGAUAGCAACGGCAUCCUUUUUGGUACAUUGAGCGGAGUCGAAAUGUACCAAAAAGAUAUAGUGGAUAGCCUGACAACGC